rnacentral:lncRNA from 1 species
CCGUUCGUGGAGAUAUGGGAUGGACAACAGUUAAAACAAAACAGAACAUUGAAGUUAUGAGAUUAUUUUUCAAACUUUCUAAUUUAGAGGAUGAUAGAAUAGUUCGGACUAUCCAUGAAACUAGUAAGACAAAACAACGAUCUUGGCAUUCACGUGUAUUAGCUUUACUGAGAAAAUCUGAAUUGAACUUUUUAAUCAAUCUCAACAUAACAACCAAACAAAAGCUACGAAUGGCUCAAGACAAAUUAACAGCUAUAGAUCAAGAGAAAUGGUUAAUUGAUGUUUUUGACGAUAAAAAUUCUGUAAAUGGAAACAAGCUUAGAACAUUCAGAAGGUUUAAAAACAAUUGCAAAACUAGUCUAUUUGUUAAAACAAUCAACUUUCGUGACCAUCGACGCAUUUUAUCAAACUUUCGAUGUGGAUCGCUGCCGCUUGCGGUUGAGACCGGACGUUACACCAAGCCGACCACUCCAUUAUGUGAUAGACUUUGUCUUUUCUGCAAUAACAAUUUUAUAGAGACAGAACAACAUUUUUUAAUAGACUGUAAUUUUUAUUCAGAUAUAAGAGAAGAACUUUUUAAUUAUAUUAAUGCUUUGAAUAACACUUUUAAUGCUUUUAACUC